UAACUGACGCUAAAGCUCGAAAGUGCGGGUAUCGAACAGGAUUAGAUACCCUGGUAGUCCGCACGGUAAACGAUGGAUGCCCGCUGUUGGCGAUACAGUGUCAGCGGCCAAGCGAAAGCGUUAAGCAUCCCACCUGGGGAGUACGCCGGCAACGGUGAAACUCAAAGGAAUUGACGGGGGCCCGCACAAGCGGAGGAACAUGUGGUUUAAUUCGAUGAUACGCGAGGAACCUUACCCGGGCUCAAACGGCGCAGGACGCGUGCGGAAACGCUCGUUCCCUUCGGGGCCUGUGCCGAGGUGCUGCAUGGUUGUCGUCAGCUCGUGCCGUGAGGUGUCGGCUUAAGUGCCAUAACGAGCGCAACCCCCAUUCCCAGUUGCCAUCGGGUGAUGCCGGGCACUCUGGGGAGACUGCCGGCGCAAGCUGCGAGGAAGGCGGGGAUGACGUCAAAUCAGCACGGCCCUUACGUCCGGGGCGACACACGUGUUACAAUGGCGGAGCACAGAAGGAAGCUGCCUGGCGACAGGCCGGCCGAUCCCCAAAAUCCGUCUCAGUUCGGAUCGGAGUCUGCAACCCGACUCCGUGAAGCUGGAUUCGCUAGU
rnacentral:rRNA from 1 species